UACUCCCGCGCCCCUAGCGGUAAGACCAAGCAUCGCCUACUUGAUUUCUCUCAGCCUAAUGGCGAUGAUAGCGGUCUUUACUUCGUAGUCUGUGGUCUGAUCAAAGACUUGACAGACUAAGUUCUGGGUGAUGAGUGAUACUUGAAAUAGGCCUACCAUGGAAAUAAAAGAGCAUUUGACAGAAGAUUGUUUUUGCUUCACUACCUCAACCAGUAAGAAAGUUACUAGUCCAGUGGUACCAAUUUGCUCCUGGGCAGGAACCAAUAGCUCAAAAGACUGCAGAUCAUGGAAUGCUGACCAGUUAUCUGUGGGUGGAAAUCUACUCGACAGAGCUUAAAUUGGCCAAUAUCUUUAGAGCGGAGACUGUUAAAACACAUGCUAAAAAUUUUGCAAAGAGAUACUCAUGGUAAAAUGAAAGAAUUUUUUUCCAAAAUCAGUUCACCAAA